rnacentral:lncRNA from 1 species
UUCACCACAUUAGACAUUCGAGGCAGCAACCCCAACGACUCGUAAAUUUAGGUCAUUGAAUUUCAUCAUUUUGCUCGCAUGUGAGCACCACCAGAUUUACUGACGAAGCAACGCCACAGAGGUGUACUCCUGCGAUUCUGUUCGGUUAAUAUUAUUCAAGGGAAAAGAGCUUACACAAGGUCAUUUUCGUUCGAUCUUCUCUGCUAUCACUCAGAUUGUGCUCCUUCCUUCUCAUUAAUUCCUAAUCAAAUCACUAAUCCUCGUGAUUUUAUAUCUAUGCACACCCUUCAAUUGAGAUUCACUCCAUCCCACUCAUUUUUAUUAACUUAAACAUCGAUUGCAGAAUCCAAUUCAUCCUUAUUUUAUUUAAAAACAAAAAUUCAGAAGUAAACUCUUCCUAAUCGAGUUGUGCAUUACAAAUUUACUUACCUUACUUUUGUAGUCGUUGCUAGCUCGUAGUAUGGCUCCAUUUCCCGUUCCUCUCUGUCUGUUUGUUCCUAGUUGAGGAUUUUUGUACAGCUUCCUCUAUUCUCCUCUCUCAGUCGAGUCUCUCUCCCUCUCCCUCCUUUCUGU